UCGACCGUCAAAACUAUUGAAAAUAUCGAUGUGAUAUAUUUCAAAAAUAAGAAAAUAAACAUCGGGCCGGCAGUUAGGAAGGAGGCCUCCUUCGUACAGCCAGAGUUAGUCUACUGGCCUCAAAAUACAUACAUUCCCCAACAGACCCAAUGUUACAUGGGUUAUUCACCAGUGAUGGACCCUAUUUAUUGGAAUUGUUAUUUCUGCGUCAAUCAGCAAGUUCCAAAUGCCAGUAAUAUUCCAGCUCAGACUCCAAGGAUGGCGAGGAGAUAUAGAGCAAAAACUGACGUGCCUCCUCGAUUCCGAAAAGAUAGAUUUUAACAAAGAUUAUAGGCCGCUACACCUAGAUUUUUGGGUAGUGCCUUGACAGGACGUCUACGAUGGUGUCGCAUACCCAACUAUUAUCAUUUAGUGUAUUCAAAUCUCUUUUGUAAAUGCUUAUACCACCGAAACAAGCAACUCUGGAAUCAAAAUGAAAACGUAUCAAGAAUAAAAGGAGUCAUUCUUAUUUU